AGUAGUUGUAUCGUGCACGAGAGACGCUGGCGGCGUGCCUAACACAUGCAAGUCGAGCGAUGAAGUUCUUCGGAACGGAUUAGCGGCGGACGGGUGAGUAACACGUGGGUAACCUGCCUUGUAGAGGGGGAUAGCCUUCCGAAAGGAAGAUUAAUACCGCAUAACAUCUUUUUAUCGCAUGGUAGAAAGAUCAAAGGAGCAAUCCGCUACAAGAUGGACCCGCGGCGCAUUAGCUAGUUGGUGAGGUAACGGCUCACCAAGGCGACGAUGCGUAGCCGACCUGAGAGGGUGAUCGGCCACAUUGGAACUGAGACACGGUCCAGACUCCUACGGGAGGCAGCAGUGGGGAAUAUUGCGCAAUGGGGGAAACCCUGACGCAGCAACGCCGCGUGAAUGAAGAAGGCUUUAGGGUUGUAAAGUUCUGUUUACGGGGACGAUAAUGACGGUACCCGUGGAGGAAGCCACGGCUAACUACGUGCCAGCAGCAGC
rnacentral:rRNA from 1 species